rnacentral:rRNA from 1 species
AUGGCUACCACGGUCCUCGCCGUGAGGGCUUCAGCAGCUCCAGCGCCGCCUUCGUUGGGGGCUGCGCGCUUCAGCCCGGUUGCAGGACCUGCUGUCAGUCUUAGAACGCAAUGUUGGAUUGCUGCCAAGAUGAAGCUCCACAAGGCCCUGAGGAGGCAUGGAUCGCAAGUUCAGAGAAAGCUGGAAAUUCAAGGGGUUGGUAAAAUUCCUGACUGCUUCAAGGUUGCAUCGCUGACUGGAAGGAUGACUCGUCGGAAUGUACAACUUGCUGAUGAAACAGGAGGUGAAACAGCAAAUACAAGCUCUGUUAUGUCAGAUAACUCGAUCGAUGACAAAAGUUCAAUGCAUUUGGGACUCAACCACUCUGAAGCUGAUCAUCCUGUACUAGAGGAAGACCUUGUUCUGUUUGAUAAUUUUGAUGACCAACCUGAAAGUGUACCAUCUCUUUGUAUUGCUGUUAUUGGAGCUACUGGCGAACUGGCAAGAAAUAAAGUCUUCCCAGCACUAUUUGCUCUGUAUUACAGUGAUUUUCUUCCUCAGAAUGUUGCCAUAUUUGGAUAUUCUAGAAAGACAUUAGCAGACGAGGAUUUAAGAUCCAUGAUUGAAGCCAAUUUGACCUGUCGGGUAGAUCACCAUGAAAACUGUGAAGAAAAGUUGAAUGAAUUCCUUAAAAGGACAUACUAUGUCGAUGCAGGACAUGAUAACAUAGAUGGGAUGGCCAAACUGAAUUCGAAAAUGGCACAGAUAGAGGGCACUUGUGCAGCAAACAGGAUAUUCUACCUUGCUGUUCCCCAAGAGGCACUUCUUGAUGUGGCAUUGCCAUUAUCUGACAGUGCCCAAACUAAGCAUGGCUGGAAUAGGAUAAUUAUCGAGAAACCAUUUGGCUUCACUAGUUUGUCCUCACAACGGGUAACACAGUCUUUGCUGUCAAGAUUUGAAGAGAGGCAAAUCUACCGAAUUGAUCAUCUUUUGGGGAAGGAUCUAAUCGAAAAUCUCACUGUCUUGAGAUUUUCUAAUUUGGUAUUUGAACCUUUAUGGAGUAGGAAGUACAUACGCAAUGUGCAGGUCGUUUUUUCUGAAGAAACAUCAGCAGAAACACAAGGGAGGUACUUUGGAAACUACGGGAUAAUCCGUGACAUAGUGCACAGCCACAUUCUUCAAACGAUAGCACUAUUUGCUAUGGAACCACCUGUUAGUCUUGAUGGGGAGGAUAUCCGCGAUGAGAAGGUGAAGGUGCUCAAAUCAAUUCGAAAAGUGGACAUUGAGGAUGUCGUCCUUGGUCAACUCAAAGAUACCUCCGGUAAAGUUGACAGAUAUACAAAAUCAAUGACACCUACCUACUUUGCUGCCGCCAUGUACAUUGACAAUGCACGUUGGGAUGGGGUGCCUUUUUUGAUCAAGACUGGAAUGGGACUUAUGGAGAAUAGAGCUGAGAUUCGUAUUCAAUUUCAUCAUGUCCCUGGCAAUAUCUACCGUGAACGUUUUGGUCAUGACAUAGAUCUCGACACAAACGAGCUGAUUUUACGUGACCUACCCGAAGAAGCCAUUCUCUUGAAAGUCAACAAUAAGGUCCCGGGACUUGGGCUCCAGUUGGAUGCUUCAGAGCUCAACCUACUUUACAGGGACAGGUACGACGUUGAAGUUCCAGAUUCAUAUGAGCAUCUUCUUUUGGAUGUUCUAGAUGGCGAUAGUCAUCUGUUCAUGCGCAGCGACGAAUUAGCUGCUGCAUGGAGCGUAUUGGCACCUAUACUCCAUGAGAUCGACCAGAAGAGGGUUGCUCCAGAGCUCUACGAGGCUGGGGAUAAAGGACCAAUUAAUGCUUACUAUCUCGCUGCUAAACAUGGAGUCCGAUGGGAUGAUGGCUGCUGA